AAAGUUUUGAAGGCGGCACUCCCAUGACUUAAGCAGAGUACUUGAACAGUUGGUUCAGAAUCAUGAGGACGAGGAAGAGGAAGUCCAGUUGGCUGUUGUUGAGGCAUUGAUACUGCCUCCAGGCACUAUACAGUUUGAUUCACUGACUAAACCAACAUGGUGCAGAGGACUAUUAAACAUUUGACAGCCUCAGAUGUCAAGAAACUUAGUAACUAUAUCACAAAGCGUAUAGUGGGGAAGGAUGACCAAGAAGGGAUGUUUUGCUGAAGUCCUGGCUCUCUUAUUAAUGAAUCCAAAGAUAAAGGAAGACGUCCCCUGGAAGACAGAACAACUGAAAACGCUGAUUAAAGCACUCUGGUGUCACAGAAAAAGAAGACCAGUUAUCUCAGAAAUACCCUGAUGCAGGGACUCUAUCAAGAAUUACAGAGGGCUCCAUCUGCUUUGGCAUUUUGAAACCAAUGGUUGAUUUCACUCACAAGGAAAUAGAGGCUUGCACUGAAGACAAUGGAUUGAUCAGUCCACAGAGCAAAGAACUAUGGGAUAAUGUCAAGAAGAAAAUUGCCAUAUUAAAUUCUAAACAAGCAAAUGGCCAAAAAAUAGUAAUCAGGUUCUGAAGGUGCUGUAUUAUGCCAUGACUUUCUACAUCAUGCAAGAUUUCAUUGGAGCAAGUAAGCUUCUGGAAAAGCUUGAUGAAUGCCUCGAUGUAGCACAGAAGCAGGAUCUAAACAAGUCACAAAGGA